rnacentral:lncRNA from 1 species
UGAUAUUGUUAUGCUAUGACGGAAGUAGUAUGGUUCAUCAAAGGCUUGGUGAUCCAUGUUAAGUGUUAGAAGCUAAGUUUGAGUUUUUGAAGAUUGAACUAAUAGAAAUGAGAGUUGAAUCACUAAAGAGUAUGCACUCCGACUAUGGGGACGCUUGUCGCGCCCCAUUUUGGACCGGCUGAAAUAGUCCGCAACAUACGACAGUCGUAAUGACUCUUUCUGGUAUUUUUUAAAAGUGAUUUGUUUUGUUAAGAGUCGCCACCUAGCUUUUAAGGAAAACUUAGGAAAACCAUUUGAUAAUGUGAAAAUGUUGUUUUUAGUUUGCGAAAACCAGUAAGAUUCUAAGUAAGGAUUUUGGUUACUCGAGGGGAAGAUAUUAAGCACUCCUCAGAGUCUAUCUGAAGAUAGUCCUUGAACUUAAUUUUAGAAAAUAUUUGGGAAAUAUUUGCCUUAGUUAUUUGCUAAAAAUAGUGAUAAUAAAAUCUCUUUUAUUACUGUUCUUAAUUUUGAAAGGAAAACUUAAGGUAUAGAAGACGUAAUGCCGCCAAAUACAAGAAAAUAAUAUAGUUAUUGCAUGACAUAUUCAUAAACAAAUAUUUUGAAAAACAUAAGAAACAAUAGCAUUUUUAUUGUAAUAAUAUAAAGGUAUAAGAUCUUAUGAUUUUUGCGAGAAAAUAUGCUUAAAAUAUAUAAAGUUGAAUACAUGAAUAAAAUUCAUUAUGAAGUAAGAAAAGUGUAUUUUUGAAGUACGAAAGAAUUUACUUAAAAUAGACCUAAAUAUAUGAAUAUUAGAAAUAUGUAAAAAAAAACAUGAAAAUUCAUCUGAUUUAUGAAAUUCCAAUAGACUAAACUAAGUCGAAAAUAAAAUGUGAUAAUAAAGUGCAUAAUAUAAUAGCAUUUAAAAAUAACUUGUAAAUUAUGUAAUAGUAGUGAAAAGGAUAAUAAUAAUAAUAAUAAUAAUAAUAAAAUGUACCUUGUAUACAGCGACGUAAGAAUAAACAUAUACCUUGCAUUUCAAAAACUUUUAAAAUCUAAAGAAAAAAAAACUUUGAAAUAAAGUCAGAAAUUAAUAUGAAAUAUUAUAAAUACUUAAAUUAUGUUGAGUUAAUUAAAAGAAUCGAAUUUGGGAGAUGAGUUGCUUGCAAACAUAAAUAGAUUAACUAAUUGAAACCUAUUCAUAGUGAUUUAUUUGAAAAAGUCCAUUUAAGGUGACAAAAAGACGUUUGUUUAACAAUUUUUUUUGAAAACGAAAACAAUUGUUAACCAUUUUAAUCAAUUCCAAAAGAAAUGUGUUUUGUUUGAGAUUGCACUUAAAGACCAAAAUUUACCUCUUUUACUUUAGAAGGUUUAUUAACGAGUGUAAAGUGAACAAAUGGUUAAAUCACACGGCAUUACUAUACCUACAAAUGUUGAAUGAGUGAAAGAUUAACCGAAGCAAACCAAGGGAUCUUUUGAGCUAAACAAAAUUAAACAAAGUAAAACUACUCAAUCGAGAUAUUCAAAGAAAUACAACGUUAGUGAAAUAAAUACGAAUAAUAAAGUAGAGAAGAAGGUGCAGAACUCGAUACAAUAAAUUCCUAUCGAAGGACUCAGCACCUAGUGAUUUAGACCCCGAGCUCUGUGAUCCUAUAACCAUUGACCCAACCCGAUCUUUGGGCUAAAAAAUGGAGCUUCCAUCGAAACUCCGACACCCCAGAUUACAUGAACCAAAGAAAAAUGAUAAGGAUUAGUAUUUGAUCAAAUAAGGAGUACAGGUGAAAAUACAAAUUAAGGGAGAAAAUAUGUUGAAUGAGCAUUUCAUUAAGCAAAGCAUGUGUUUUAAGAAAGUCAUCCUUUUUGGCAAAGGCAAAAACGAGAGUGCAACCAGAUAAAGGUUAACCUAUUUCUAAAAAAAAUGCUAAUUUGGAUCAGCCACAAACUAGCUAAUUACUCUUUCUAAGCAUAUUAACAUCGUGACCUUUCAACGGUGAAAUUACAAAUGGGACGAGAUUAUAAUUUAAUGAUACUUUGAUACUUUCAACUAUAUUAGUAAGUAGAGAAAUCUUAUCAGCCCCAAUAUGUUAAUGCGUACAUUUAAAUUCUUCUUAAGGAAUCACACACAGAGCUAGCCAACCAUUUUUUAGAAGUCUAAUACAUACGGUAGUUCAUACAAUAAUUCCACACAAGAUACAAACAAACUCUUCAACAUAGUGCAAAGGCAGACAAGAUAUAGAUUCAAAGGUACCAUUUCAUUCUACGAACAUUCCAAAUCAAAGCUUUCAACGUAUUUUCUAAAUCAAAUCUCGAUGUCGUCUUUAUUUAUUAUUUUGAAAGAAUAUUUAGCUAAAAAGAAAAUGCAUACAACAGCCACACGCGCAGGUUCAUACUUUAGAUAAAGGGAGAUGAGAUAGUAGAGGGAUAUUAAAAAUACAGAUAAGAUUAAUUAGCGGCCUGUUCAUGCUAUGUCAAGUUGUGACAUUUUCAAGCCAUUGUUUCAUCAAAAAAAUACUCAUUCUCACAAGAAUGUCAAGCAAAUAAGAGGGGAAAACAAUCUGUCGAUUCGAAAUCGAACCAUACCAGGGCCAAAACUAACAAGUUUCUUGCAAAACUUUGUUCAUUCCAAAUCGAAAGGAUGAUGUCAACACAAGGCAACCAAGGCUCUAAAUUUAGGAUCAAUCGAAAAUAGAGUUUCUACCACAUAUCUUAUUCUUUAUACAGCCACGUAUCCAGAAUAGUAGACAAUGAAGAUAAAUCUAUAUUGCUAAUACACAACAGCAAAGAAGUGAAAAUGGAGUAGGAACUAAUUCACACAGCCAUUCCAAGCACAAAGGAAAAAUACGAGUAAGAAACAAGACGAAAGCUCACCUUGUGUUGGGCAGCAAGCCUGGGGCUUCAACGUCAAGAUUCAGAUGAAUAACUCGAACUUCGGGGAAUCGACCUUAGACCGAAAACAACAAAGAGAAAUAAUAAUUUUGCGACCUUACUACACCGAUUCGGAGUGUUCACUCUAUAUUUUUCGAACUUGUUCUCUCCUUCGAAAACUUCUUUCUUUCGAAAUAGGUAAAAAUGUGGGUAUUUAUAUUCAAAACCGUACUUGAAAGUCCGGAUUUGAAAUAAAAAAUUCAAGGAAACCAACAGCCAAAUCAAAGGGAAGUUUUUGAAAUUCAAAAAGUUGGAAGAGACAACUCACUUCACGAUUUUGGACGAUUUUUGUGUCUUUAACGUAGAUUUGAAAUCGAAUAUCGUUGUAUCACCGACUGGGAACUGAUUUUCGCUGAUUUGUUGAAGUAGCGGAUUGAAAAGGCUGAAAAUAGGAUGAGUCGUUGUAGUGAAGGCGGAUGGUCAGAUAUGGUGGAUUAGGGUUUUGAUUUUGGGUAUAAAGUAGAUGAGGAAGAUGGAGAGAGAAUGAAAGAUUGAUGGUUUCUUUGUGUCUUUUGGGUAAUGAAAGGGAAAAGACGCGUGUCGUUCGGGAAAAGAGAAAGCCUGC